UAUUCCAGCUCGUUAUUCAAUACAAACGGCCAGACUGUUUACUGAAGGCUGGUGUGUCAGUUGUUGAGGGAAGAAGAGAGGGAGCAGGGCCCACCCCCAAAGCCCAGCUCCCAGCCCCGUGGACGUGGACGGCUCUUGGGGGCUCCAGCCUCCUCGGAGCACACGGAGACAGCCAAAGGUCCACCUCGGAAGGGAGUCUGUACAAGGCCAGUUUGCAGCCUGACAACCAGAAGGGGACACUGAGAGAGAAAGAACCAGACUUGGCUUCUGACCAGCCAGCCUCAUAGCAAAGAAGUGGAAGGCCCUGGCUGGGAACUCAACGUUCGGCAAAUGAUAUCCGCCUUCCCUGUUUAUGGGGUGGCUGGUCUAUGUGGAGACCACACGAGAUGCGGUGUGCCAAAUCUCCAGAGGCACUGCAGAUGAACCCUGCAGGUUAAAAAGGGUCUGGCAGGGGUUUCCAUGUCUCUGCUGCCCCUCAAGCCACCUGAGCCACUCCACCAUCACCACAGUCCUCACCUGGAGUUCUCUCGGAGUUCUAUCAGCCAGCACUCCUUGCAGGAAAGGCUCCCAGGGACAAGACGGGGCUCCUUCUAGACCGUUUGAUUAAUUACACUGCUUGUUUGUUGACGCUGACCAGAAUUUUCAAUCUUCUGAUGCUACGCUCAGAACGUCGUAUUUUUCUAUGCGUUUAUCACUUGCUCCCAUGAAACUUUCUCUCUGCCCCAGUCGGUCUCUCAUAAUUUAUUUUAGGUCCUAAUUUUGUUGUUUUGCUCACCUACCCUAGACUUCUUUUUCCUCUUAUGCAGAGCAAUAUGCAAGUCUCACCGGGUAUUUAUUAUUACUUUGAAGAGAUACCUUGUUAAUACACAGUCCCACACACAUACACAUCACUCAAUCAAAACGAUGAUAUAAGUGAAAAUCCAAACAUGCUGUUUAAUCAUUUAGAGAGGCUGAUAAUGAUUUUCAAUCAACUAGGAUUGCUCUGCAGUUCAAAGAAUUAUUAAUGAGAGCCAAAUUUGUUAAUAGAUUGUGAACAGCCCUUUUUGGUGAGUGGGGGAAGAUACAAGGAAGGUCAUUUUAGAAGUUGCUAUCCAGCCUUUAUGUCAUACACUCAUGAAGCCCAUCCUCUCCGUCUGAGCUCACCAGAACCCAAUUGCUAAAAUCUCCAUCCUAUGAUCGAUCCAUGAAGGUACCUUGCCCAAGCUCGGUCACUGGAAGCUCUAAAUGGAGACUCACAAAAGGGUUUUGUUGGGAUUUUUUCCCUAAAAUAGCCCAAUUCGGAACUGAGAAAUGAGCAGAUCUUUUGCAACAUGUAUAACAGCCAUAAUGCUCACCUCCCCCUCCAGUCUUCCUUGACAGUCAUUGUCUCUUCUUGUUCCCUCCCCGCACCAAUGUCCUGCAUCUUCUCUGGCCCCAAGAUGACCAGAGAGACCCUGUUUGGGGACUCAAGCUCUGUACCCUCACUCGUGGCCCAAGAGCUUCUCCCCAGACCCCAGCCACCUCCUAUGAUCUUCCUUUCCUCUUGGCCAAAUACUUGAGGUCUUGGCCAGCUUGGGGUUUCUUUUUAACCCUGCUACAAUCUAUUCUCUAGAGUUUUCUCUUUUCAGGCCAAGGCACACAGCGCCUCACUUCUUUCCUCCUCCUAAUGAUAAUCCCAUAGCUAUUUUUGUUUUGUGAGUUUUACUGGGAAUCACCAAGGAGAAAAAGAAAAACACAAGAACCCACAUGGAAGAAAUGUGACUGCAUCAGAACUCUUACAAAAUUGCUUCCUUCAACAAUAACCUUUAUGGAUUCACCCCCCUACCGGUUGAGCACUGUGUUCUAGAAUCUAAUAGUUAUUGUUUCUGGGCAAUGCUUCUGGGAUGAUCUUGGAAGCCCCACUGGCCACCUACUUCCCUUGGCAAGUAGUUCACUAACCUCUUAACAAGGAGGGCAAAAUGAAAAGCGAGCAGUGCUCUCUCCUCUCCUUUUCCUUUUCUAUAGCUCUUCAGAUGGACAGUAUUUGUGUCAUUGGUCUCCUACCCUUUAAAGGUUAAGAUCAUAACAUAACAGAGGUUAUAUUAAAACACACACACGAUAACUCUAAUAGUAGUAGAAUUAUUUGACAUUGAGGCUAUUUUGAAAACUUCAGAAUAUCUCAUCCUUUUCUUAUACUCGCCCCACCUGAGCCCCUCCUACUGUUGUGUUUUAACUAAUGAGACCUUUCUGAAGGCUUCUAAUAAGUUAGCAUCUACCUAGGGACGUACUCAUAAACUGGCUCUCUGAAAAGGACGAAUAUACAAAAAGCCUUGAUUCACAAUGUUUGACCAUUUCCGUGAUGUAAAGACUACCACUGUGGUCAAUUUCAAGCUACCAAUGACUUAAAACCAGCUGGUAAGAACUCUUUCAAGCCAGGUGGAACCAGUUCUAGCACACCACUUACACUUCCAGUUGUUUCUCUUAUCAAAGCUUGCUUUGUGCUUCAUCUCCAAAAGUCUGUCUUGGAACUGCCUUUCCUUUGCCAAAGCAAUAUAAUAAGUACAUCCCAAGCAGAAUGUGAUUGGCUGAAUGAAAAAUCUCCAUGUUUUUCCCCUGUCAGGGUCAUAGGACAUGUCCUGGAAUGCUCCUAGAAGAGGCCCUCAACCCAACAGGUGAAACUCAGCAAUGGUGGGACCUCAAGGCGAAUGAUGCACCCCUCAGUGGCAGUGCAGGGAGGGACAGAGGAAUGCCAGUAUGGGCACAAGAUCCCUGAGUCCAGAAAGUGCUCUUCGUGGUCAGGGCAGGAGCCACCCCUUUCCUGCUCUCCAGCAGCCCUCACUGGCUCUUCUGACUGUGACCCCUCCACUGCGCCCUAUUUGUCGCCCCCAAGAUGGUCCUUUCUGGAUGGGAGCUGUUUGAACUUCCAAGUCCAGUGAGCAAGGCCUGCAGCAAGAAAUUUAAAUACGAUAGCAAAGUUUAUACCCUAAACGGCUCUCUUGUGGUUCCCUUAGCAACAGCUCUUACUUUUUAGGGCUCACCUUGGCUACAUGCUGUGUUAGCAAUGGUUCAUUAGACUGAUUUCCAAAACAGCUCAUGUCCCACUCAGAACCAGUUUAUGGGAAGUCUGCUUGUCCCUCUCCCUCAAUCCUCCCCCACCCCCCACUUGUGCUCCCUCUCCCUCUCUCUCAAAUAAAUAAAUCAAAUCUUUUUCUGAAAAUGUCAAAACACCUCUCAUACAUUCAUUCAACAAACAUUUGUUGUACACAGAACUCGUGCCUACCUUCGUUGACUUUACCCUGCCUUCGUGUUCUCUGCACUUCUCUUACAUCCCCAGGUAUUUAAGUAUUUUCCAUAUCUGUGCCUUGGGUAUAUAUGCUUGACCUAUACCAUCAGGCUCUCUGAUGGCAAUAGACUGUCUAUUUUUACCUUGUAAAUCCUUAGCUACUUCCCUCCCAUGGGUAGUGUAAUUCUUGAGUUACAUAAAACAAAAUCAAGAGUACAAAUUCAGCUAACAUAGCAGAUGGAUUUCACUAAAAGAUCUUCUUGCCUUCUCCCAACUGGGGUUGGUGUUCCCCAAGACAGUAUGAAGAACAUAUGAACUCCAGAGCCACUGUUUGAAAAGGGAUGCUCAUAUUUGUUUAGGGUAAGGAUAGUGGAUCAGUCAAAGUUCAUUUUGAGAAAAAAAACUACCAUGAAUGAUGUAGAACAGAGAUUUAUGAUUGGGGUUAAACUUUAUACAAGUACGGAAGGUGCUGGAAAAGCAAGUGUACACAAUUUGCUUCUGUGGCGGUAUUGGCCAUGAGGUUGCCAUGGGCCUGGAACAGCAGUCAGGAAGGAGGACACAAUGUGAAGCCCGGGAAAGAAAGGACAAAUUAGAACCUGAGAUGAUAAACUGGAACCUAUGAGGACAAACUGGAAUGCACAUCUGUCUUUCAUUGCCAUCAGCGUCAGUGAUGAGGUGAUUUGCAUGGUAAAGCCAGGGCAAUUUACCACACAGGUGCAUGUACACGUGGUUAGGGGCUCUGGCUGGAGGAACUGUGUCCUUGGGUGGUCCGCAACGUGAGCAAGCAGGUCAACAUACACAUGAAAGACCUGCCAUGGUGCCUGGAGUUCCACACCCACGAAAAAGCAACUACAGUCCCCCCCACCCCCUUAUCUGCAAGAGAUACCUUCCAAGAUCUGCAGUGGAUGCCUGAAAUAACCCUAUGUAUACUAUGUUUUUUCCUGUACAUACAUUCCUAUGUUAAAGUUUUAUUUAUAAAUUAGGCACAGUGAGAGAUUAACAACAAUAUUAAAACAGAACAAUUAUAACAAU